rnacentral:tRNA from 1 species
UUGUUGCAAAUGACGGCAUCUGCCUUACAAGCAGGGGGUCGGGGGUUCGAAUCCCUCAUCACCCACCA